UACGUAGGGGGGCGAGCGUUGUCCGGAAUUAUUGGGCGUAAAGAGCGUGUAGGCGGUUCGGUAAGUCUGCCGUGAAAACCUGGGGCUCAACCCCGGGCGUGCGGUGGAUACUGCCGGGCUAGAGGGUGGUAGAGGCGAGUGGAAUUCCCGGUGUAGCGGUGAAAUGCGUAGAUAUUGGGAGGAACACCAGUGGCGAAGGCGGCUCACUGGACCGGUACUGACGCUGAUGCGCGAAAGCGUGGGGAGCAAACGGG
rnacentral:rRNA from 1 species